CCUACGGGAGGCUGCAGUGAGGAAUAUUGGUCAAUGGACGGAAGUCUGAACCAGCCAUGCCGCGUGCAGGAAGACGGCUCUAUGAGUUGUAAACUGCUUUUGUACAAGGGUAAACCUGAAUACGUGUAUUCAGCUGAAAGUACUGUACGAAUAAGGAUCGGCUAACUCCGUGCCAGCAGCCGCGGUAAUACGGAGGAUCCAAGCGUUAUCCGGAUUUAUUGGGUUUAAAGGGUGCGUAGGCGGAUUGAUAAGUUAGAGGUGAAAUGUCCGAGCUUAACUCGGGAACUGCCUCUAAUACUGUUGAUCUAGAGAGUAGAUGCGGUAGGCGGAAUGUAUGGUGUAGCGGUGAAAGGCUUAGAGAUCAUACAGAACACCGAUUGCGAAGGCAGCUUACCAAUCUAUAUCUGACGUUGAGGCACGAAAGCGUGGGGAGCAAACAGGAUUAGAUACCCUAGUAGUC
rnacentral:rRNA from 1 species